UAAUAUUUACAAAAAAUAAUUUAAACAAAGAUAAUAUCUAUGUGCUUUUGUAAUUAUAUUAUUGUUGAACCGAUUCUUUUCUUUAAUUUCUUUUUUCAGCUUUCGACUCGCAAAAGGUUAACAGCUGGAGAACAAUUUCCUGUGAAGUAGGAUUGUGAAAUUCUGAGAAUGCUAUAUCUUUGAGUGCAGCCUGAUAAGCACAUAUUGAAAUCACAUCCUAACAUUAAAUAUCCAAAUUAAAUAUUAAAUCUGUCAUAUCUGUCAUUAUAGCAGUGGGACGACAAACUGAAGAACAGCAAACAGAAUUUGUUGCCUCUAUUUGUCUCCGCAACAAGUUGUUAUUAAGUUUGGAAAUCAGAUAUGGCAAGCUUUUUUUGAGAAUUGGUUUUUACUGGAGGCAACUGUAACAAAUGGCAAGUUGUGGAACAAAAAUUAAAAGAAGAAUACAAAAUGGAAACAUUAGGUUUAUAAAUUUAUUUCUUUUCCGACUAUUUCGGAUAAGUCGUGCAAGAUUAGUAACAAAUCUAAGUUUGCAUUAUUUUCUACCGUGCUCCAAAUUUUUUGUCAGUGUUCUUCUUUUUUUUUUAAUUAUUACACUUUGGUCGUGCCCAAAAUGUUGGAUGUUUCAACAUGCUGUGAACACUUUUUUGGUGCUCUGUUAAAUUUGCUGUAAGUAAUAUUAAAUUAUAAGUACAUUAAAGAUAUUCUGUAACUAAAUGCAAUAGAGCGUUUACAACUAUAUACAUACUUAGGAAUGUGAUAAUUGUGGAAUGUUUAUUAACUUUAUGUUCGGAUACGUUAUUUGUUCUGUCUAAUUGUUUAUAUACGCAGAACGACUCGGGUUUGAAGCCUUUAAUCCACGUGUCUUUGUAAUAAUUAAAAAAAGGUUGUAGAUGUUGGCAGUUGUUGAAUAUAAUAUGGGCAAUUAUAUUGAAUCCUUCUUCUAUUAAUAGUUUGGGCAACAAGGCCAAAGAUAUUAAUAAUUUUGUUGCACCAAUCCCAAUUCUUUUUAUAUCACCCUUCAGUAUUUGAUGCUUUUUUGCAUUAUGUACCAACGCCUGUAAUUAGUAAGCAAUAUAAGGAAAAUUGGAUAUAUAUUUUAUGUUUAUUAUUAUACGCGUUGUCUUUUAUUAUCUGGCUGUAGUGAAAAAAGCAGCCAAUAACUUUAACGUCAGGAAAAAUCGUUUGCAGCGCAUUUCGUUCUGCUCUCUCAAAAUCUGCUACUGCUAUACGAGGUUUAAUUUUAAUUAUAUUAUUAAUUUUUUUUAAUACUUCUAUAUAAUAUUCGGUAGUGCGGCCUUCCAUUAUAGAAUAAGCAAUAGGAAAUGUCUGAAAUUAGAGAAAAAAAUAAUUUACUCGCAUAUAUAUUUACAUACAGUGUCUUUCAUAAUUACAUGAAGAAAUUAAUAUAUAAUGAAUACAGUUCUGAACUAUUAUUUUACUUACUCUGUCAUUACAUCUAAUAACAAUAGUCGACAAUUAUUGUUAUUUAAUUGCGGCACCAUAGCGAACGUUCCGUCAACAAAAAUACUUAUAUUUUUAUUUGUCAUUUUUGUAAUUGUGUCUGUUAAAUUUACGUCAAUAAAAAUGACAGCCCUGACAUUGUUAUUUUUUUUUACAAAUUCUAUUGUAAAUAAUUUAGUUGUGUCUAUUUGCAAUAGGUCUUUCCAUUUUUUAUCUUGUAAGUUUGCUUCUAAUUCAUUUAAAUUCGUCCAAUACGGUUCUUCUUCUUGAAUCUUUCUAUCGAUUUUUCUACAUUCUUAAUUUUUGUUUGAUCGAGCAGAUUGUCAUAUCUAAAUAUUAAUUAUGCAAAUGUGACCAAUUAUUAUAAUAUAAUACUUAAUUAAAUUUAUAAUAGCAUUUGCUAUCUUCUAUUUUUAUUGUUUCUUUACUCACUUUGUUUAAUUGCUCUUGUUGAUUCAUGUGGGUGUGACGUCUCAAUUUCUUUUUUUAUAUCCGACAGUAUAAAUUUUGGCUUAUCGUGAUUGUUAUGCAUCCCACUUAAAAUAUAAUUGCCAUUUUCUAUUUUUAGGCGUGCUUUACACCUAAUAUUUUUAUUUCUUUGGAAACUACACUCAUAAUAUCUGCGAAAAAAAAUUUAUAUUUAAAUACAUUAAAUUAUGCGUGCUUUAUCUAUGCUGAUUGUAUAAAUAAAUACUUUUUUAAUGUCUUAUUAUUUCUACUAAAUUAUUAUGUAAAAUUAAAAAUUAUAAAAUUAUAAAAAUAAUUGUCAAUUUAUUAGAUUAGAGAAUUAUUACAUAACUUAGUAGAAUGACGUAAAACAGUGUAUUAAUAACGGUUUUUAACGCUUUAAUGACUUCUUUAAACGUUAUUCUACUGCUUGGAAAACUUUUUUUUUAUUUCUAUGUUAUACAAUUAAUUUUAUUUUAAGAUAUAUUUCUUUACUUUGUAUCUCCAUGGGACUUAUUCAAAUAAAAAUGAUAUCCAUCGUGCUCCAAUUUGGACUGCUGGAUUCUUGCAGAAUUGCACUUAACUAUAUCCAUCUCAAAAAAAUAGAAAACCGUGCACACAAUAUAAUAAACAAAGUGGACUUGCCACUGGCUUACUGAUGGCCUAAGGAUGUACAUAAAACAGAAAGCUGGUUAAAAACAAUUGGACGAAGAGAUUUAAUUGGUAAGUUUUAAAAAGUGGAUUAUGAGUUACUCUGUAUAUAAAAAACUUAAAAUAUUUUAUAUUACCAUUUAUUUUAAUUUUUAUAUUAUUCGAUAUACUUAAUUGAAACUUUUUUAUGUUACAGAUUUACCUAAAGAAAAAUUGAGCCAAUUGAGAAUUUGUACUGAACAUUUUUCGGAAGAUAUGUUUAUUGCCCAUAGAGCACGGCGAUGUUUGAAAGAUGACGCACAUCCUAUUUUACACUUAGAGCCAAAUAAUAUUAUUGAUGUUUCAACUUCCGAAAAUGUUCAAGACAAUUCUGAUUUGGUUAAUGACGUAACGAGACUAUAAUUGUUACGUAUAUCUGUUGUCACUAUUUCGUUGCAUAGUUACGUAACAUUUACAUAAUUUUGUUGACGUCAAUAAGCCAAAUGUUAAUGUUUCGUAAAUGUGAUGUUACUAUUGUAAUGUUAUUGCGCCAUCAUGUUUAAUACAUAACAAUUACGUAAUUUUGAUAACGUCAAUGAGCGUAAUAUAAAAAUUUUGUAAAUGCAGCAUAAAUGUAAUAAUGUUAUUGUGACAUCAUGUUUAAUACAUAACAAUUACGUAAUUUUGAUGACGUCAAUGAGCGUAAUAUAAAAAUUUUGUAAAUGCAGCAUAAAUGUGAUAAUGUUAUUGUGACGUCAUGUUUAAUACGUAACAAUUAUGUAAUUUUGAUGACUUCAAUGAGCUUAACAUAAAAGUUUUGUUAAUGUAGCAUAAAUGUGAUAAUGUUAUUACGACAUGAUAUAUCUUUAACACCUUCCGUGCCACGUGAAUCACUGUAAUCCAUUCUGGACUUCCCACUGUUACUAUUAUUACUUAUUAAUUAUUUACUAAGCAUAAGGAGAAAUAUAAUUUUAUUAAA